GCAUAUCAAUAAGCGGAGGAAAAGAAACCAACAGGGAUUGCCUCAGUAACGGCGAAGUGAAGCGGCAAGAAGCUCAACUUUGGAAUCGCUCCGGCGAGUUGUAGUCUGGAGGCGGCCGGUCCGCCUUGCGCAACCAAAUCUAAGUCCUCUGGAACGAGGCGCUUGAAAGGGUGACAGCCCCGUGGAUUUUUGUUGUUGUGCUUGGCCCCUGGUCUGCCGACGAGUCGAGUUGUUUGGGAAUGCAGCUCUAAGUGGGUGGUAAAUUCCAUCUAAAGCUAAAUACCGGCGAGAGACCGAUAGCGAACAAGUACAGUAAUGGAAAGAUGAAAAGCACUUUGAAAAGAGAGUGAAACAGUACGUGAAAUUGUUGAAAGGGAAGGGCUUGCAGCUAGACAACUGUCAGCAUCGGGUGGAGCGGAACUAAAAGUGGGAGCUGAUGUAGCAACCCCCCCGGGGUUGCAUUAUACAACUCUCAGAUGGUUCCUGCUUCGCCCGAGGAUCGCCUAUUUGAAGGAUGCUGGCGCAAUGGCUGCAAGCCACCCGUCUUGAAACACGGACCAAGGAGUCUAACGUCUAUGCGAGUGUACGGGUGGAAAACCCCUGCGCGGAAUGAAAGUAAGAGGUUGGAGCCCGCAAGGGUGCACAAUCGACCGACCUGGAAGUGCUCGGACGGGUUUGAGUAGGAGCAUAGCUGUUGGGACCCGAAAGAUGGUGAACUAUACCUGAAUAGGGUGAAGCCAGAGGAAACUCUGGUGGAGGCUCGUAGCGGUUCUGACGUGCAAAUCGAUUCGUCGGAAAUUUGGGUAUAGGGGCGAAAGACUAAUCGAACCAUCUAGUAGCUGGUUCCUGCCGA
rnacentral:rRNA from 1 species